rnacentral:rRNA from 1 species
CCCGCACAAGCGGUGGAGCAUGUGGUUUAAUCGAUGCAACGCGAAGAACCUUACCUGGGCUUGACAUCCCGGGAAUCCCCUGACAACCCGAGAGAUCGGGCGUUCCCCUUCGGGGGGACAGGGUGACAGGUGGUGCAUGGUUGUCGUCAGCUCGUGUCGUGAGAUGUUGGGUUAAGUCCCGCAACGAGCGCAACCCUCGACCUUAGUUGCCAGCAUUCAGUUGGGCACUCUAAGGUGACUGCCGGCUAAAAGUCGGAGGAAGGUGGGAUGACGUCAAAUCAUCAUGCCCCUCAUGACCUGGGCUACACACGUGCUACAAUGGGCGGUACAAAGGGUCGCGAACCCGCGAGGGGGAGCCAAUCCCAAAAAGCCGCUCUCAGUUCGGAUUGCAGGCUGCAACUCGCCUGCAUGAAGCCGGAAUCGCUAGUAAUCGCGGAUCAGCAUGCCGCGGUGAAUACGUUCCCGGGCCUU